GAAUUUUGGACAAUGGGCGAAAGCCUGAUCCAGCAAUGCCGCGUGCAGGAUGAAGGCCCUCGGGUUGUAAACUUCUUUUUUUCUGAACGAAAAGCUUUGGGCUAAUGCCCUUUUGUCAUUACGGUAUCGAAAGAAUAAGCCCCAGCUAACUACGUCCCAGCAGCCGCGGUGAUACGUCGGGCGCCAGCGCUAAUCGGGAUUACUGGGCGUCAAGCGUGCGCAGGGGGUUUUGGAAGACAGAGGUGAAAACCCCGGGCUCAACCUGGGAACUGCCUUUGUGACUGCAAGGCUAGAGUACGGCAGAGGGGGGUGGAAUUCCGCGUGUAGCAGUGAAAUGCGUAGAGAUGCGGAGGAACACCGAUGGCGAAGGCAACCCCCUGGGCCUGUACUGACGCUCAUGCACGAAAGCGUGGGGAGCAAACA
rnacentral:rRNA from 1 species